rnacentral:rRNA from 1 species
GAUGAACGCUGGCGGCGUGCCUAAUACAUGCAAGUCGAGCGAACAGACGAGGAGCUUGCUCCUCUGACGUUAGCGGCGGACGGGUGAGUAACACGUGGAUAACCUACCUAUAAGACUGGGAUAACUUCGGGAAACCGGAGCUAAUACCGGAUAAUAUAUUGAACCGCAUGGUUCAAUAGUGAAAGACGGUUUUGCUGUCACUUAUAGAUGGAUCCGCGCCGCAUUAGCUAGUUGGUAAGGUAACGGCUUACCAAGGCGACGAUGCGUAGCCGACCUGAGAGGGUGGUAGGCCACACUGGAACUGAGACACGGUCCAGACUCCUACGAGAGGCAGCAGUAGGGAAUCUUCCGCAAUGGGCGAAAGCCUGACGGAGCAACGCCGCGUGAGUGAUGAAGGUCUUCGGAGCGUAAAACUCUGUUAUUAGGGAAGAACAAAUGUGUAAGUAACUAUGCACGUCUUGACGGUACCUAAUCAGAAAGCCACGGCUAACUACGUG